UACGGCGUGGGGCGGCCGUUCCACAGGCCGGCGCCGAAGACGACGGCGACGUCCUGGGCGGGGACGUCGGCGGUGGUGCGCAGCCGGCCGUCGGCG
rnacentral:tRNA from 1 species